rnacentral:rRNA from 1 species
UACAGAGGGUGCAAGCAUUGUUCGGAAUUAUUGGGCGUAAAGCGCGUGUAGGCGGCUUUGCAAGUCGGGUGUGAAAGCCCUCAGCUCAACUGAGGAAGUGCGCCCGAAACUGCAGAGCUUGAGUGCCGGAGAGGGUGGCGGAAUUCCCCAAGUGAGAGGUGAAAUUCGUAAGAUAUGGGGAGGAACACCGGUGGCGAAGGCGGCCACCUGGACGGUAACUGGACGCUGAGACGCGAAAGCGUGGGGAGCAAACAGG